AGAGUUUGAUCAUGGCUCAGGAUGAACGCUGGAGGCGUGCUCAACACAUGCAAGUCGAACGGUGAAGCAGAGCUUGCUCUGUGGAUCAGUGGCGAACGGGUGAGUAACACGUGAGCAACCUGCCCCUGACUCUGGGAUAAGCGCUGGAAACGGCGUCUAAUACUGGAUAUGAGCUGCGACCGCAAGGUCAGCAGUUGGAUAGAUUUUUCGGUCUGGGAUGGGCUCACGGCCUAUCAGCUUGUUGGUGAGGUAAUGGCUCACCAAGGCGUCGACGGGUAGCCGGCCUGAGAGGGUGACCGGCCACACUGGGACUGAGACACGGCCCAGACUCCUACGGGAGGCAGCAGUGGGGAAUAUUGCACAAUGGGCGAAAGCCUGAUGCAGCAACGCCGCGUGAGGGAUGACGGCCUUCGGGUUGUAAACCUCUUUUAGCAGGGAAGAAGCGAAAGUGACGGUACCUGCAGAAAAAGCGCCGGCUAACUACGUGCCAGCAGCCGCGGUAAUACGUAGGGCGCAAGCGUUAUCCGGAAUUAUUGGGCGUAAAGAGCUCGUAGGCGGUUUGUCGCGUCUGCUGUGAAAUCCCGAGGCUCAACCUCGGGUCCGCAGUGGGUACGGGCAGACUAGAGUGCGGUAGGGGAGAUUGGAAUUCCUGGUGUAGCGGUGGAAUGCGCAGAUAUCAGGAGGAACACCGAUGGCGAAGGCAGAUCUCUGGGCCGUUACUGACGCUGAGGAGCGAAAGGGUGGGGAGCAAACAGGCUUAGAUACCCUGGUAGUCCACCCCGUAAACGUUGGGAACUAGUUGUGGGGUCCAUUCCACGGAUUCCGUGACGCAGCUAACGCAUUAAGUUCCCCGCCUGGGGAGUACGGCCGCAAGGCUAAAACUCAAAGGAAUUGACGGGGACCCGCACAAGCGGCGGAGCAUGCGGAUUAAUUCGAUGCAACGCGAAGAACCUUACCAAGGCUUGACAUAUACGAGAACGGGCCAGAAAUGGUCUACUCUUUGGACACUCGUAAACAGGUGGUGCAUGGUUGUCGUCAGCUCGUGUCGUGAGAUGUUGGGUUAACUCCCGCAACGAGCGCAACCCUCGUUCUAUGUUGCCAGCACGUAAUGGUGGGAACUCAUGGGAUACUGCGCGGGUCAACUCGCAGGAAGGUGGGGAUGACGUCA
rnacentral:rRNA from 1 species